UCUCCCUCUGCCAGUCUGACAUCUCCCUAAAAUUCACUCUCCAUUCCGACAGAGAAAGGUACAAUCUUAGGGCAGGAACCAUGGAAACAGGUUAACAUGCUCCAACUACAUUGUGGACUAGGCCCACGCCUAUGCUGAGGUGACCAAUGUUUCCAUCUGUUGGAUCUGCACUGCCCUUCCAGCAGCAGCUGCAGACGGCAUGCCUUGGCACAUGCAUUCAGCAUCUGCAGAGAAUUGGACAUGGCUGGAGACAUGCAACACAGCAAGCUUUGGACAAAGGACACUGUAAGACCCACAGCACAUCUGCCGCCUUGCAGGCCUUUUGUGUUUAUGAUGAAUGGGGCUGGCUAGUGGGGGAACGUGUAGUACCCCCAGCCCAGGUACUGUGGUGCAUAGAGCAACAUUGGAGCAACACUCCCGUGAGAUAGGUACCUGUCAUGGCCUGUGCAAACAUAACACAUGUCACCACACUUAAGGUAUGGUGGAACAAGCGGCCCCACCAAGGUUGGGCCCCAAUAGAUUUUGUGCUCCCUGGGAUUUGAUGGGUCUGUGGGGACAAGGGUGGCCUUAACUACCAGCAAACUGGACUGGAUGUUGUACCUGGGGGUGGCCUUAUGUACCUGCCACUGUUCUCCCCAUGUUGCCCAGAUGGCCUGCAUAACUGGGAGGUGCUAUGCUGUCGGUUUGUGCAAGUGUGAUGAGC